rnacentral:rRNA from 1 species
GAUGAUCUCCAGCUUGCUGGGGGGAUUAGUGGCGAACGGGUGAGUUACACGUGAGUAACCUGCCCUUAACUCUGGGAUAAGCCUGGGAAACUGGGUCUAAUACCGGAUAUGACUCCUCAUCGCAUGGUGGGGGGUGGAAAGCUUUUUGUGGUUUUGGAUGGACUCGCGGCCUAUCCGCUUGUUGGUGAGGUAAUGGCUCACCAAGGCGACGACGGGUAGCCGGCCUGAGAGGGUGACCGGCCACCCUGGGACUGAGACACGGCCCAGACUCCUACCGGAGGCAGCAGUGGGGAAUAUUGCCCAAUGGGCGCCAGCCUGAUGCCACCACGCCGCGUGAGGGAUGACCGCCUUCCGGUUGUAAACCUCUUUCAGUAGGGAAGAAGCGAAAGUGACGGUACCUGCAGAAGAAGCGCCGGCUAACUACGUGCCAGCAGCCGCGGUAAUACGUAGGGCGCAAGCGUUAUCCGGAAUUAUUGGGCGUAAAGAGCUCGUAGGCGGUUUGUCGCGUCUGCCGUGAAAGUCCGGGGCUCAACUCCGGAUCUGCGGUGGGUACGGGCAGACUAGAGUGAUGUAGGGGAGACUGGAAUUCCUGGUGUAGCGGUGAAAUGCGCAGAUAUCAGGAGGAACACCGAUGGCGAAGGCAGGUCUCUGGGCAUUAACUGACGCUGAGGAGCGAAAGCAUGGGGAGCGAACAGGAUUAGAUACCCUGGUAGUCCAUGCCGUAAACGUUGGGCACUAGGUGUGGGGGACAUUCCACGUUUUCCGCGCCGUAGCUAACGCAUUAAGUGCCCCGCCUGGGG